rnacentral:rRNA from 1 species
CGGCAAGACGGAAAGACCCCGUGAACCUUUACUAUAGCUUGACACUGAACAUUGAGCCUUGAUGUGUAGGAUAGGUGGGAGGCUUUGAAGCGUGGACGCCAGUCUGCGUGGAGCCAACCUUGAAAUACCACCCUUUAAUGUUUGAUGUUCUAACGUUGGCCCUCACCGGGGUUGCGGACAGUGUCUGGUGGGUAGUUUGACUGGGCGGUCUCCUCCCAAAGCGUAACGGAGGAGCACGAAGGUUAGCUAAUCCUGGUCGGACAUCAGGAGGUUAGUGCAAUGGCAUAAGCUAGCUUGACUG